rnacentral:rRNA from 1 species
CGGAAUUAUUGGGCGUAAAGGGCUCGCAGGCGGUUUCUUAAGUCUGAUGUGAAAGCCCCCGCCUCUAACGGGGAGGGUCAUUGGAAACUGGGAAACUUGAGUGCCCUUGAGGAGAGUGGAAUUCCACGUGUAGCGGUGAAAUGCGUAGAGAUGUGGAGGAACACCAGUGGCGAAGGCGACUCCCUGGAAAGUAACUGACGCUGAGGAGCGAAAGCGUGGGGAGCGGACAGGAUUAGAUACCCUGGUAGUCCACGCCGUAAACGAUGAGUGCUA